rnacentral:lncRNA from 1 species
CCGCCCCGCCGAGCGGCGCUCGGCCCGGGGGCGUGCGGAACGGGCGCCGCCGGCAUGGCGUCCAUGUACAUAACGCUUUGUUUGCACUCGGUCGGCUCCGGUUAGGGAAGGCCUCGCAGGCGCCACCUCCCGCCCUCGUGUCUCAGGUCCCACGACAGUUUCCCGAGCCCUUAGAGGAGCGGGGCGCACCGCCCGGGCGCCGCCACGGCCCCCCGCACGUGCGCGCCGGCCCGCCCGCCGCCUGGGCCACGCUCUCGGGAGGCGGCCGAGCCUCGGCGUCGCGGCCGCCAUCUUGGGAGGUCGCCCUGCCCCGAGGCCUCCCGCCGGGACGUGGCCCUCGCGAGGCCGGAGAGCGUCGUCUUUGCCGGCCCCUCGAGCCGCCGCCAUAGGCAGCCCGGAGGAGGUCGUGUGAAGGAACGUGUUCAGUGCCUGACUGAAAGGGCUAGCGUGGCGUCCCCCACCCACCCCACCCCCGAGCGGGGAGGGCUGGCGGCCAUGUUUCCCAACAAAAUGGCGACACGUGUCGCCAUCGAGAAACUGGGCUGGAGCAAGACAAAUCCAGAGAGAUGAAGUGACUGACCCAAGGUUACACAGAAUGGAAUCUAUAUCUUCUGAUUUCUCUACUGGCCUGCACUCCAAGUUCUGAGGAGCAGUCCUUGAAGCUGCUGAGAUAAUGGAACAAUGGCGUAGAUAGUCCAUUAUAACUCAUCUGUGAUUCUUCUCAAGUUCAAGUGACCACAGAAAAAACAGUUAACAAGUGUCUGGACAACUGGAGGAGACUCGGGCCUCUGAGCCCCAGCAAGGACAAAGCCUGAGACAUUAUCAACACGAAGACGUAUGAGAUGAGACAGAAGUGUCCUGGAGGAGAGAGACCAAAAGAGAGGAGGGGCUUGGGGGCCCAGAAGCCAGUCCUGGGGAUCUGUUUUCCCCUGUCUCCACAGCUGGAUCGGUGGAGAUUACGUGGAGAUGUUUGCAGCGCAUCCAGAGCACAUUUAAUCUAUAUUUAGAAAACAACCAAAAGGAAUUUAAAAGUUGAGCCCGUGACUAAAAUUUUUAGCCCAUGACUAUGAUUAUUUUUUUUAAAAGGUUUAGUAGCCAGUGAUAAUUAUAACUGUUACCAAGGCCUAAUAACUUAUCAGCACUCUAUCAAUAUGUUCAACUUUGAACUCUGAAGUCUUAGCGUCGAGUGUGGUCUAUAAAUCUCAUUUUUCACAUGCCUCAGAACUUUACAACUUAGGUAGGUUCACACACCUUAAAUUAUGUCCUUAGGCCUUUACAAGUUACAUACAUUUUAAACUUCUUUUUAAAUCUGGAAAUAUCUGAUCAUUUCCAUGAGACAGACGAGCUAGAUUACUGGGCGCAGUCACUGGAGGGCAACUUCUUUUAGAUGAAGGGACAGUGACAACCAAAGCUGUGGUCAGCAGCAGCAGCAGCAGAGUAGCUUCAGUUGGCUCUUACACCGAGACCUAUUCCGGUGAGUCCCUCAUUUUAAGCAGGAGGCUGGUCACUCUAGGAAAACCACUCCUGGCUUUCACAGGUGAAACUAAUUCAAGCUGGCAGGUAAGUGAGUUUCAAUCUUAAAACCCUUAUUUUUUUUCAAAAAAAAAAUUUUUUUUUUAAUUAAAAAUAUUUUAUUCAUUUGUUUUUGACAGUAUCAGAGGACAAUUUGCAGAAAUGGGCUCUCUCCUUCUACCAUGUGGGUCCUGGGCUUGGUCACUGGGCUUGGUGGCAGGUACCUUUAUACCAGCUAAGCCACUUCUCUGGCUCCUAAAGCCCUUUUUAUUAAAGAGACUUAGGUAACUAAA